rnacentral:lncRNA from 1 species
GCAAGGGAAUGUGUCAGUCAUCGCCGCACAUGCGCACAAGGCCGGUUCUGGGACUUGCGGGCUUCCUCCAGCAGCGUGCUGCUGCUCAUUAGCAACCGCUGGGAGGGAAGCCGUGCGGGGCUGGUUUGCAGCGAGCCGCGGACAGCGCCGGAGACACAAGCAACUGGGCCAUCGAAGGACAACUGUCUCUUGGGCCAACAGGACACAGAACUCUCCCUCUGGAGACCCUCAGAGAUGAGGAAGAGGAGGAGGAGGAAGAAGAAGAGCUGCGGAGGUAGGGGCGAGAUGCAAGGUUCUUCUCCUUCUCCUUCUCCCCUUUCUCUGCCUGCACUCUGGAGGCAAAACUUUAUGCCCACAGCAGCUUCUACCUGGCAGUGGCGUUCAGUUGUGUAUCAACGCCCGGUACAGCCAAGAUACACCUAGAAUGUGGUGUCUUCCUGCAACUCCCAUACCACCCAGAAAACAAGCUAUGUUGGCCUUGACAGAAAGGAAAACUGAAGCAUUUCCUUUUGAGUGGUUUUAUAUGAUGAGCUUAUGUCAGAUACGCAUCAAGAGUUUUUUUUUUCUAUCUUUUACCCCAU